AAUUUGAAGAUAUCAGCGCAAGCACCCACAGCAUCUGGGUUAACCCAUUCUUCACAUAGAAAGGAUAACUCAGAAUUGAACCAAGAAAAUUUUGGGAUGAUGUCAGAAAAUACGAGUACAACACCAUCAAAUAACGCAUUUUCAACUAGAAUGCAACCUGGACCCACAAAUUCAGGUUCUCAAACUGGCAGUUAAAGUGAUCUCCAAUCAAAUUUGAAGAUAUCAGCGCAAGCACCCACAGCAUCUG